rnacentral:rRNA from 1 species
GGGACACGUGGUAUCCUGUCUGAAUAUGGGGGGACCAUCCUCCAAGGCUAAAUACUCCUGACUGACCGAUAGUGAACCAGUACCGUGAGGGAAAGGCGAAAAGAACCCCGGCGAGGGGAGUGAAAAAGAACCUGAAACCGUGUACGUACAAGCAGUGGGAGCCUCUUAAUGGGGUGACUGCGUACCUUUUGUAUAAUGGGUCAGCGACUUAUAUUCUGUAGCAAGGUUAACCGAAUAGGGGAGCCGAAGGGAAACCGAGUCUUAACUGGGCGUUAAGUUGCAGGGUAUAGACCCGAAACCCGGUGAUCUAGCCAUGGGCAGGUUGAAGGUUGGGUAACACUAACUGGAGGACCGAACCGACUAAUGUUGAAAAAUUAGCGGAUGACUUGUGGCUGGGGGUGAAAGGCCAAUCAAACCGGGAGAUAGCUGGUUCUCCCCGAAAGCUAUUUAGGUAGCGCCUCGUGAAUUCAUCUCCGGGGGUAGAGCACUGUUUCGGCAAGGGGGUCAUCCCGACUUACCAACCCGAUGCAAACUGCGAAUACCGGAGAAUGUUAUCACGGGAGACACACGGCGGGUGCUAACGUCCGUCGUGAAGAGGGAAACAACCCAGACCGCCAGCUAAGGUCCCAAAGUCAUGGUUAAGUGGGAAACGAUGUGGGAAGGCCCAGACAGCCAGGAUGUUGGCUUAGAAGCAGCCAUCAUUUAAAGAAAGCGUAAUAGCUCACUGGUCGAGUCGGCCUGCGCGGAAGAUGUAACGGGGCUAAACCAUGCACCGAAGCUGCGGCAGCGACACUAUGUGUUGUUGGGUAGGGGAGCGUUCUGUAAGCCUGUGAAGGUGUGCUGUGAGGCAUGCUGGAGGUAUCAGAAGUGCGAAUGCUGACAUAAGUAACGAUAAAGCGGGUGAAAAGCCCGCUCGCCGGAAGACCAAGGGUUCCUGUCCAACGUUAAUCGGGGCAGGGUGAGUCGACCCCUAAGGCGAGGCCGAAAGGCGUAGUCGAUGGGAAACAGGUUAAUAUUCCUGUACUUGGUGUUACUGCGAAGGGGGGACGGAGAAGGCUAUGUUGGCCGGGCGACGGUUGUCCCGGUUUAAGCGUGUAGGCUGGUUUUCCAGGCAAAUCCGGAAAACCAAGGCUGAGGCGUGAUGACGAGGCACUACGGUGCUGAAGUGACAAAUGCCCUGCUUCCAGGAAAAGCCUCUAAGCAUCAGGUAACAUCAAAUCGUACCCCAAACCGACACAGGUGGUCAGGUAGAGAAUACCAAGGCGCUUGAGAGAACUCGGGUGAAGGAACUAGGCAAAAUGGUGCCGUAACUUCGGGAGAAGGCACGCUGAUAUGUAGGUGAAGCGACUUGCUCGUGGAGCUGAAAUCAGUCGAAGAUACCAGCUGGCUGCAACUGUUUAUUAAAAACACAGCACUGUGCAAACACGAAAGUGGACGUAUACGGUGUGACGCCUGCCCGGUGCCGGAAGGUUAAUUGAUGGGGUUAGCGGCAACGCGAAGCUCUUGAUCGAAGCCCCGGUAAACGGCGGCCGUAACUAUAACGGUCCUAAGGUAGCGAAAUUCCUUGUCGGGUAAGUUCCGACCUGCACGAAUGGCGUAAUGAUGGCCAGGCUGUCUCCACCCGAGACUCAGUGAAAUUGAACUCGCUGUGAAGAUGCAGUGUACCCGCGGCAAGACGGAAAGACCCCGUGAACCUUUACUAUAGCUUGACACUGAACAUUGAGCCUUGAUGUGUAGGAUAGGUGGGAGGCUUUGAAGUGUGGACGCCAGUCUGCAUGGAGCCGACCUUGAAAUACCACCCUUUAAUGUUUGAUGUUCUAACGUUGGCCCCUGAUCGGGGUUGCGGACAGUGUCUGGUGGGUAGUUUGACUGGGGCGGUCUCCUCCUAAAGAGUAACGGAGGAGCACGAAGGUUGGCUAAUCCUGGUCGGACAUCAGGAGGUUAGUGCAAUGGCAUAAGCCAGCUUGACUGCGAGCGUGACGGCGCGAGCAGGUGCGAAAGCAGGUCAUAGUGAUCCGGUGGUUCUGAAUGGAAGGGCCAUCGCUCAACGGAUAAAAGGUACUCCGGGGAUAACAGGCUGAUACCGCCCAAGAGUUCAUAUCGACGGCGGUGUUUGGCACCUCGAUGUCGGCUCAUCACAUCCUGGGGCUGAAGUAGGUCCCAAGGGUAUGGCUGUUCGCCAUUUAAAGUGGUACGCGAGCUGGGUUUAGAACGUCGUGAGACAGUUCGGUCCCUAUCUGCCGUGGGCGCUGGAGAACUGAGGGGGGCUGCUCCUAGUACGAGAGGACCGGAGUGGACGCAUCACUGGUGUUCGGGUUGUCAUGCCAAUGGCACUGCCCGGUAGCUAAAUGCGGAAGAGAUAAGUGCUGAAAGCAUCUAAGCACGAAACUUGCCCCGAGAUGAGUUCUCCCUGACUCCUUGAGAGUCC